rnacentral:rRNA from 1 species
GUGUAGUCAAACUCGGGGGACAGCUAAACUAUAACUUACUCAAACCAGAGGAAGGUUGCGGCAAUAACAGGUCUGUGAUGCCCUCAGAUGUCCUAGGCUGCACACGUGCUACAUUGAUCAGCACAACCCGUACAUUUCGAAAAGAAGCAUCGGUUGAGCGGUACGAGAGGUUCAUUCUUUUCGUUAUUGCUUCCGAUAGCGCCUGGUCUGCAAGGUCUAGGUAAUCUCUUCAAAAUGCUGGUAAGGUAACCAAACUGAGCGCAUUAAACACACGCGGGGGGUAACAACGGUUCAAAACUUUGCGAACUAAUGCCACCCAGACGUAUGCAACUUGUCAAUUCUUCGCGGGGACCGAUGAUUGUAACUAUUCGUCGUGUUCUCAACUAGGAAUGCCUUGUACGGGUCUUGGUUCACCAUACCGCCCGG